GCGCGAGUGGCGAAAUUGGCAUACGCGCUAGGUUUAGGUCCUAGUGUCUUCGGACGUGUGGGUUCAAGUCCCACCUCGCGCA
rnacentral:tRNA from 1 species